rnacentral:rRNA from 1 species
AGUGAACGCUGGCGGUAGGCCUAACACAUGCAAGUCGAACGGCAGCACAGUAAGAGCUUGCUCUUACGGGUGGCGAGUGGCGGACGGGUGAGGAAUACAUCGGAAUCUACUUUUUCGUGGGGGAUAACGUAGGGAAACUUACGCUAAUACCGCAUACGACCUACGGGUGAAAGCAGGGGAUCUUCGGACCUUGCGCGAUUGAAUGAGCCGAUGUCGGAUUAGCUAGUUGGCGGGGUAAAGGCCCACCAAGGCGACGAUCCGUAGCUGGUCUGAGAGGAUGAUCAGCCACACUGGAACGGAGACACGGUCCAGACUCCUACGGGAGGCAGCAGUGGGGAAUAUUGGGCAAUGGGCGCAAGCCUGAUCCAGCCAUACCGCGUGGGUGAAGAAGGCCUUCGGGUUGUAAAGCCCUUUUGUUGGGAAAGAAAAGCAGCAGGUUAAUACCCCGCUGUUCUGACGGUACCCAAAGAAUAAGCACCGGCUAACUUCGUG